GAUGAACGCUGGCGGCGCGCCUAAUACAUGCAAGUCGAGCGAACGGACGAGAAGCUUGCUUCUCUGAUGUUAGCGGCGGACGGGUGAGUAACACGUGGAUAACCUACCUAUAAGACUGGGAUAACUUCGGGAAACCGGAGCUAAUACCGGAUAAUAUUUUGAACCGCAUGGUUCAAAAGUGAAAGACGGUCUUGCUGUCACUUAUAGAUGGAUCCGCGCUGCAUUAGCUAGUUGGUAAGGUAACGGCUUACCAAGGCAACGAUGCAUAGCCGACCUGAGAGGGUGAUCGGCCACACUGGAAAUGAGACACGGUCCAGACUCCUACGGGAGGCAGCAGUAGGGAAUCUUCCGCAAAGGGCGAAAGCCUGACGGAGCAACGCCGCGUGAGUGAUGAAGGUCUUCGGAUCGUAAAACUCUGUUAUUAGGGAAGAACAUAUGUGUAAGUAACUGUGCACAUCUUGACGGUACCUAAUCAGAAAGCCACGGCUAACUACGUG
rnacentral:rRNA from 1 species